ACGGGAGGCAGCAGUGGGGAAUAUUGGACAAUGGACCGAGAGUCUGAUCCAGCAAUUCUGUGUGCACGAUGAAGUUUUUCGGAAUGUAAAGUGCUUUCAGUUGAGAAGAAAAAAAUGACGGUACCAACAGAGGAAGUGACGGUCCACCACGUGCCAGCAGCCGCGGUAAUACGUAUGUCACGAGCGUUAUCCGGAUUUAUUGGGCGUAAAGCGCGUCUAGGUGGUUAUGUAAGUCUGAUGUGAAAAUGCAGGGCUCAACUCUGUAUUGCGUUGGAAACUGUAUAACUAGAGUACUAGAGAGGUAAGCGGAACUACAAGUGUAGAGGUGAAAUUCGUAGAUAUUUGUAGGAAUGCCGAUGGGGAAGCCAGCUUACUGGACAGAUACUGACGCUAAAGCGCGAAAGCGUGGGUAGCAAACAGGAUUAGAUACCCUGGUAGUCCACGCUGUAAACGAUGAUUACUAGGUGUUGGGGGUCGAACCUCAGCGCCCAAGCAAACGCGAUAAGUAAUCCGCCUGGGGAGUACGUACGCAAGUAUGAAACUCAAAGGAAUUGACGGGGGCCCGCACAAG
rnacentral:rRNA from 1 species